rnacentral:rRNA from 1 species
UGCCUACGGGAGGCUGCAGUGGGGGAUAUUGCGCAAUGGGGGAAACCCUGACGCAGCAACGCCGCGUGAAGGAAGAAGGUCUUCGGAUUGUAAACUUUUGUCUUAUGGGACGAAAAAAAUGACGGUACCAUAGGAGGAAGCCACGGCUAACUACGUGCCAGCAGCCGCGGUAAUACGUAGGUGGCGAGCGUUGUCCGGAAUUACUGGGUGUAAAGGGCGUGUAGGCGGAGACUUAAGUCAGAUGUGAAAUUCCCGGGCUCAACUCGGGCGCUGCAUUUGAAACUGAGUUUCUUGAGUGAUGGAGAGGAAAGCGGAAUUCCUAGUGUAGCGGUGAAAUGCGUAGAUAUUAGGAGGAACACCAGUGGCGAAGGCGGCUUUCUGGACAUUAACUGACGCUGAGGCGCGAAAGCGUGGGGAGCAAACAGGAUUAGAUACCCCUGUAGUCC